AUGGUUCGCAGACCCUAUGACACCUAUCUUUAUGUUGACAACUUCAUGUUUAGUCGUCGAACCGAGAAGCAACAAGUUAUCAAUUUCUUGUUACAGCAUAAUUCUCUUGGUUCUCCACCCGUGCUUCCAAUCGUUGGUGGAAGCCUAGUUGGGAAGAAAACUCUGGUAACACAUGUAUGGAAUGAUGAGAAGGUGUGUAGUUACUUCUCUUCUGUUCUGUACCUCAAUGGAGCCAACUUCACUAAAAUAGACACUGAAAGGUGCACAUCAGGGAGAAUAUUGGUUGCUGUCACACUUGUUUCAGAUGUAGAUGAUGAGGAUUGGAAAUCUUUCUACCGAACGGUGACAUCCAUAAGAGUAGAAAGUAAGGUUAUAAUCAUAAGUAGGAUGGAAAGUUUGACAAGAUAUGGUACCGUGAAGGCAAUUUACCUAAGUAAAUUACAAGAUGAGGAGUACAGCUACUUCUUCAAGACACUAGCAUUUGGCAGUGCACACACAAAGGACCACCCAAAUCUAACACUGUUGAUAGGAGAGUUCAUCAAGUUAUUGGGUGGGUCAUUUGUGGGAGCAUAUUCAAUUGCCAAUAUAUUGAGGAGGGACCUGAGCCUUCAAUUCUGGCUUUGCAUAUUGAACAGAUACAAGAAUAUGACGAAGGCCAACUUAUCGAUGUUUGGUGAGCACUUGUCGGUCCGUGUUAGAAUACGAUAUCCGGUAGAUUUCACCAACUUUCUACCUGCGCCAGCUGCUCCGCUACUCCUUAUGCCUCCUCGAACUGAAGCCGAGGCUUUCGAAAGGAAACUACCCAAGAUAAGGAUUGGAGACCUCGUUGUGGAUCCUACCCUUCGUCCCAAGGGUGAGUUCGAUUUAGUGACAUGGGAAUCACAGAUACCCCCUUAUACUGAGUUCAUUUACCACGUCCCUUCUUGUGCUCAAAGGCAGCCUACAACCUUACGGAGGAAGCGUGAUGCAUAUGUUUGUCUCUAG
rnacentral:rRNA from 1 species